UGCGCAGGCGGAAUAAUAAGUCAGUGGUGAAAUCUCUCGGCUCAACCGGGAAACUGCCAUUGAUACUGUUAUUCUUGAGUACAGUUGAAGUGGGCGGAAUGUGUCAUGUAGCGGUGAAAUGCUUAGAUAUGACACAGAACACCGAUAGCGAAGGCAGCUCACUAAGCUGUAACUGACGCUCAUGCACGAAAGCGUGGGGAUCAAACAGGAUUAGAUACCCUGGUAGUC
rnacentral:rRNA from 1 species